rfam:Gossypium raimondii Chr10_contig_1424, whole genome shotgun sequence.
UGUUAAAAAUUUCAUUUAUUUGUACUGUUAAAAACUGGCAUAGCUGACGGAAUAACCAAAAAGUGUAAUGUGACAAGCCAUGGGUACUUUAUGCUGAUGUACAAGGAUCAGUUUUUAACAGUAGAACUGGAUGAAAUUCUUAACA